rnacentral:rRNA from 1 species
ACGAACGCUGGCGGCAUGCCUAACACAUGCAAGUCGAACGCCCCCUUCGGGGGGAGUGGCGCACGGGUGCGUAACGCGUGGGAACCUGCCCUUAGGUUCGGAAUAACUCAGAGAAAUUUGAGCUAAUACCGGAUAAUGUCUUCGGACCAAAGAUUUAUCGCCUUUGGAUGGGCCCGCGUAGGAUUAGGUAGUUGGUGGGGUAAAGGCCUACCAAGCCGACGAUCCUUAGCUGGUCUGAGAGGAUGAUCAGCCACACUGGGACUGAGACACGGCCCAGACUCCUACGGGAGGCAGCAGUGGGGAAUAUUGGACAAUGGGCGAAAGCCUGAUCCAGCAAUGCCGCGUGAGUGAUGAAGGCCUUAGGGUUGUAAAGCUCUUUUACCAGGGAUGAUAAUGACAGUACCUGGAGAAUAAGCUCCGGCUAACUCCGU